UCCCUUUUUCUCUUUAUAGGUCUGGCUAAAGGUUUAUCAAUUGAAUGAUUUUUUUUCCCUCUUUUUUCCUAAGGUAAGCUUGUCUUAAUAUAAACUUCCGUCUUGGAAUUGCUUUCGCUGGAACCCAUAGGUUUUGGCCUGAGGCUCAUACAGUGUGGAAAGAGAUCAUAUUUAUCAUAUUCCAGAGGACACUGUAUCCUUUACCACCAUGCGUUUACAGGGUUUAAUUUUAAUCCUGACCAUUUCUACUAGCUAAAGAUGAUGUGAGAUAUUGAUGUAUCUAUCCUUUUUCAUUUUGAUAGAUUCCUUAAUAUAAAAACCAGUUAUGUACAUGAAAAAUACCACUGUUUCUACUUUGAUACCUGACUCACUUGUAUAGCAUUCUUCUAAGUAGCCAUAUUUCAUUGAUAUAAUCAAUAAAGCAA
rnacentral:lncRNA from 1 species